rnacentral:rRNA from 1 species
UUAAGUGAAUAAGGGCGCACGGUGGAUGCCUUGGCACUAGGAGCCGAUGAAGGACGGGACUAACACCGAUAUGCUUUGGGGAGCUGUACGUAAGCUAUGAUCCAGAGAUUUCCGAAUGGGGGAACCCAACAUCUUUAAUAGGAUGUUACGAUUGUGUGAAUACAUAGCACAUUCGAGGUAGACGCAGAGAACUGAAACAUCUAAGUACCUGCAGGAAGAGAAAGAAAAUUCGAUUCCCUGAGUAGCGGCGAGCGAAACGGGAAAAGCCCAAACCAGCAAGCUUGCUUGUUGGGGUUGUAGGACUCCAAUAUGGUAGUUCUUUCAGAUAGUCGAAUGACUUGGAAAAGUCAGUCAAAGAGGGUAAAAACCCCGUAGACGAAAUGUGGAAGACACCUAGGAGGAUCCUGAGUACGGCGGAACACGAGAAAUUCCGUCGGAAUCCGGGAGGACCAUCUCCCAAGGCUAAAUACUCCCUAGUGACCGAUAGUGAACCAGUACCGUGAGGGAAAGGUGAAAAGCACCCCGGAAUGAACUGAACCCCAAAAGUUGAACUAUUUAAUGGACUGUUUCCGAUAUUCUACUGGAGAUAGUCCAUUUAACUUUAGUUUUAUCCUUUUGUUAUUAUACCACCUAAUAUACUCAUUUAAUUUACUUUGAAAUAUCUCAAUUGAUCGGAAUUUUUCUCGAUAAAAAAACUCUGAUUUAAGCACACCAAAAAAAUUUUCUAUUACAGAAUUAUCUAAGCAAUUUCCUUUUCUAGACAUGCUUUGAAUAAUGUUAUUCUCUUUUAAUUUUUUUUGAUAUUGUGGCAUCUGAUACUGCCAUCCUUGAUCUGAAUGUAGAAUCAGUGAACCCUCAGUUCCCUUUUUUUUAAUUGCUUGUUGAAGCAUUUCUUCAAUCAGUUUAUAUGUUGGACUAGUUGAUAUACUAUAACUAAUUAUUUCUCCGUUAAAUAAAUCAAGUAUAGGAGAUAGAUAGAUUUUUCUUCCUUUUAUCUUGAAUUCAGUGACGUCUGUCACCCAUUUUUUAUUGGGUGUAUCUACUGAAAAAUUUCGUUUUAACACAUUCUUGGCAAUUUUUCCUACUGUUCCUUUAUAAGAUUUAUAUCGCUUUAUUCGGAUUUGACAGGUAAGUCCCAUUUGGGACAUUAAUUUUCUAACUGUUUUAUGAUUGAUUGUAUAUCCUUUCAUCUUUAACGCUAAAGUGACUCUACGAUAACCAUAAGAGUUUCUUGAUUCUUUUACAAUCGCUGUAAUUUCUUGCUUUAUCUUGCUAUAUUUAUCUGGCUUAUCUAAUUUUUUUACCCAGUAAUAAUAAGUUGACUUCGCUAAUUGUGCAAUUGAAAGUAAUAGAUUCAAUUUAAAUUCUUUUUUGAGCUGAAGGAUUGUUUUAACCUUGAUUUCUUCUUGCUCAAAUCUUGUUCUUGAAUCAAGGUUUCUAACUUUUUUAAAUAUGCGUUCUCUGCUCUUAAACGAAUAACUUCUUCUUCAAGAGACUCAUCUUUAAGUUUUUUAGGAAUGUUUAGCUUGGAAUUCAUACUAAUUUUUCUGCCCCUUUUUUGGCUCUCAAGUGAAGAAGCACCGCCUUCUUCAUAUUGCUCUAUCCAUUUACUUAGAGUUCUAUUUGAACCGAUAUUAAAUUUUUUAGCAGUUUCUUGGAUAGAAAGACCAUUUGUUUCCAUAUAUUCUAUAACAUCAAGUUUAAAUUUUGUAGUGUAGCUUUUGCCACCUCCAACCAAGCCUUCCCAACCAUGAUAGUUAUAAAUCCUUACCCAAUGUCUAACCAGUGUACGAUUUAUUUGAUAUUUAUGUGCAAGAUAUUUGUAGCCGCCUUCGUUAUUUAAAUAGUCUGAAACUACUUUUUUCUUAAAAACAAAUGUAUAUUUCCGCAAAAAAAGCACCCCUUUUAAUUAGAUUUCUAGUCUAACUUUUGGGGUGCACAUCAGAAGGGGAGUGAAAUAGAACCUGAAACCGUGUGCCUACAACAAGUCAAAGCCCGUUAAUGGGUGAUGGCGUGCCUUUUGUAGAAUGAACCGGCGAGUUACGAUUGCAUGCGAGGUUAAGUUGAAGAGACGGAGCCGCAGCGAAAGCGAGUCUGAAUAGGGCGUUUGAGUAUGUAGUCGUAGACCCGAAACCAUGUGAUCUACCCAUGUCCAGGUUGAAGGUGCGGUAAAACGCACUGGAGGACCGAACCCACGUACGUUGAAAAGUGCGGGGAUGAGGUGUGGGUAGCGGAGAAAUUCCAAACGAACUUGGAGAUAGCUGGUUCUCUCCGAAAUAGCUUUAGGGCUAGCCUCGGAAUUGAGAAUGAUGGAGGUAGAGCACUGUUUGGACUAGGGGCCCAUCUCGGGUUACCGAAUUCAGAUAAACUCCGAAUGCCAUUCAUUCAUAUCCGGGAGUCAGACUGUGAGUGAUAAGAUCCAUAGUCGAAAGGGAAACAGCCCAGACCACCAGCUAAGGUCCCAAAAUAUAUGUUAAGUGGAAAAGGAUGUGGGGUUGCA